rnacentral:rRNA from 1 species
GAUGAGCGCUGGCGGCGUGCCUAAUACAUGCAAGUCGAGCGAACGGACGAGAAGCUUGCUUCUCUGAUGUUAGCGGCGGACGGGUGAGUAACACGUGGAUAACCUACCUAUAAGACUGGGAUAACUUCGGGAAACCGGAGCUAAUACCGGAUAAUAUUUUGAACCGCAUGGUUCAAAAGUGAAAGACGGUCUUGCUGUCACUUAUAGAUGGAUCCGCGCUGCAUUAGCUAGUUGGUAAGGUAACGGCUUACCAAGGCAACGAUGCAUAGCCGACCUGAGAGGGUGAUCGGCCACACUGGAACUGAGACACGGUCCAGACUCCUACGGGAGGCAGCAGUAGGGAAUCUUCCGCAAUGGGCGAAAGCCUGACGGAGCAACGCCGCGUGAGUGAUGAAGGUCUUCGGAUCGUAAAACUCUGUUAUUAGGGAAGAACAUAUGUGUAAGUAACUGUGCACAUCUUGACGGUACCUAAUCAGGAAGCCACGGCUAACUACGUG